rnacentral:rRNA from 1 species
UAGGGAAUCUUCGGCAAUGGGGGGAACCCUGACCGAGCAACGCCGCGUGAGUGAAGAAGGUUUUCGGAUCGUAAAGCUCUGUUGUUAAGGAAGAACGAGUGUGAGAAUGGAAAGUUCAUACUGUGACGGUACUUAACCAGAAAGGGACGGCUAACUACGUGCCAGCAGCCGCGGUAAUACGUAGGUCCCGAGCGUUGUCCGGAUUUAUUGGGCGUAAAGCGAGCGCAGGCGGUUAGAAAAGUCUGAAGUGAAAGGCAGUGGCUCAACCAUUGUAGGCUUUGGAAACUGUUUAACUUGAGUGCAGAAGGGGAGAGUGGAAUUCCAUGUGUAGCGGUGAAAUGCGUAGAUAUAUGGAGGAACACCGGUGGCGAAGGCGGCUCUCUGGUCUGUAACUGACGCGGAGGCUCGAAAGCGUGGGGAGCAAACAGG